CAAGGCUGCUCUGUGGACCGUGCAAACAAGUCUAGACCAAUGACCUGCUGAAUAGCUCCCUUUGAAGAGCACGCAAGUUCGGUCAGGAUGAAGAGAAAUUGAGGCGGACCCUCUUUUGAGUGCGGAGCAGCCCGUGGCCACUGGGAGCAUGAAAAGAAGGAGCAAACUUGGAUAAUUUUAGCAUCUUCACUGAAAUUUGACCAGGUUUCUCUUGGCUGAUGGGACUCCAGUGGAACCUGCGGCUGCUCUGAGCAUCUUCCUUUCAUCAGAGCUUUUAACUCGUCAGAUGGUGGUUAGAGGCGGCCGCAGGUGCUCCCUUUACCUGGACGAAAUGCAGUGUGAGCCCCUGCUCUCCACAAACACACACACACACACACACCUUACUCAAGCAGACAUCUUUUUGUUCUUUAGCACAAAGUGAGCUCUGCUAGAGAUAAACCUGUCUCUGCAUCCUAAAAUGAACUCACUCUCUUUGUCACUCUCUAAAAUAUAUAUAUAUAUAUAUAUAUAUAUAUAUAUAUAUACACAUACAUACAAAGAUUCCAGCCAAACAAGCUCAUUCCGUAUAGGAAAUUAGUGUCCGAACUAAUCAGUCAGAUUAAUUUGUUGUUAUUUUGGACUAAUUGCUGUAAUUAAUGGUUUUAAUUGCUGUAAUUUUCUCUUUUAUAGGUGUAGAGGGCUGAUGAUGCAUUAUUUUUAGCUUGUGGGUAAGUCAUACUUUUUUUCCAGCUGUACUGCGCAAACCAUAAUUCAUUUUGUACCUGAGCAGCUGUUAUUUAUAUUCUUUUGUUUUUUUUUAAAUAGGCAUUCUUGUUGUAUUCUUAUUUAUUUACUAAUGAACAGUUGUGGGACAAAAAAGUGUAUGGUUAUGUUUACAUGAUGUGUUAAAUAAAGACAUGAAAACGUA